rnacentral:rRNA from 1 species
AUUGAACGCUGGCGGCAGGCUUAACACAUGCAAGUCGAGCGGGGUGAUGGUGCUUGCACUAUCACUUAGCGGCGGACGGGUGAGUAAUGCUUAGGAAUCUGCCUAUUAGUGGGGGACAACAUCUCGAAAGGGAUGCUAAUACUGCAUACGUCCUACGGGUGAAAGCAGGGGAUCACUUGUGCCCUUGCGCUAAUAGAUGAGCCUAGGUCGGCUUAGCUAGUUGGUGGGGUAAAGGCCUAUCAAGGCGACGAUCUGUAGCGGGUCGGAGAGGAUGAUCUGCCAAACUGGGACUGAGACACGGCCCAGGCUCCUACGGGAGGCAGCAGUGGGGAAUAUGGGACAAUGGGGGGAACCCUGAUCCAGCCAUGCCGCGUGUGUGAAGAAGGCCUUAUGGUUGUAAAGCACUUUAAGCGAGGAGGAGGCUCUUUUGGUUAAUACCCAAGAUGAGUGGACGUUACUCGCAGAAUAAGCACCGGCUAACUCUGUGCCAGCCGCCGCCGUAA